CUGGACAAUGCUGUGCCACUGUCCCCUAUACUGGUGCUGCUGGCAACAAGGUUGACACCUGGUCCUGCCGUGGCUGUGACACUGUCCCCUAUACUGGUGCUGCUGGCAACAAGGUUGACACCUGGGCCUGCCGUGGCUGUGACACUGUCCCCUAUACUGGUGCAGCUGGCAACAAGGUUGACACCUGGUCCUGCCGUGGCUGUGACACUGUCCUCUGAAGUCUCUCUCCUUGGCUCUUUCCCUUUCACCACCCUCACUGCCUCACAGUUUGUCUCCUAGAAAAUAAAUAAGGUGUUUGCCGUACUCCUAACUACCAGUACCCAAAACUACACAAUUAAUUAAUACCAUUGCCUUAAACAGAUCUUAGUUCAGUCACCAGUUUAGGUUGAGAGUGGGGGUAUCCAUGGCAUUUCCAAUUAUGUCCCAAUUUAACAAGUCAAAAAAAUGUAGAACCUUUCAUAAUGUUGCCAAACAAAUGACUCAAUAAACUUACCUGAGACUCCCUGUCUCUGCCUGUCUGUCCCUGCCCAUCUGUCCCCAGCUCUGCUGUCUGUGUGCCCUCUGUUGCCUGAUGUGCCUAAUGCCAUUCUUGUGAAACUUUUCCAUUAACAUUUCACUUCUUUCUAAUGAACAUUUUAUCAACUAGUCUUAGGCUACUAGGGUUCUUGCUUUGCGUUUUGGUGUACUGAAAAAUACUCUGAUGUCUGACUUUUUACUUUUUUCUGAAAUGUUUCUACCUGGCAAGCUGCACAAACACACACACACAUACCGUGUAUAGGUUAUUUACAGUAGGAGAUGGGCUUCUAUCAUCUUAUCUUCUAUCAUUCUAUAUGGGCUUCGAUCUAAAAGAUAGCUAGCAAAUGUGAAACGGAUUGCAGUGACAAGAGUUGACAGCUGUAUGAGUUCACCAUUUACACAACAUAUGCUGCAACCUUUUGUCAUUUUAAUAUAGUUUGUUUCAUAUUGGCUGGCUUCGAACAAUAGCUGAAUUUGCAAUGCUAGCGAGCACCAAUUCCGUUUCUGUGGUGUUUGCUAUAAUCUUUGCUAUUAUCAGUUUACUCCAAGAUCAGCACACGUGCUUCAAAGUCCCAAAGCGACAAUUUAGUUUUUGCAACGAGACCAUUAAAGAUAUUUAAGACAAUGGUAGAAGAGAGUGUAGUUAUGUUCACUUGAUCGCUAACCUUAUCACAGUGACUUUGUAGCACUACAGCUGCAUGCUGAUCCUGGAAUAAACUGACGACAGCAAAGAUUCCAUCUUUGACGACGCCACAUGAAUGGAAUAGUUACUAGCUAGUUUAAUAGUUAAUGUUUGCACGCUAGCUCUGCAAAUUCAGAUAGUGUGUGUGUAAA
ensembl:lncRNA